GACAGAGGGUGCAAACGUUGUUCGGAAUUACUGGGCGUAAAGCGCGUGUAGGCUGCUCGGAAAGUCGGGUGUGAAAGCCCUGGGCUCAACCCAGGAAGUGCACUCGAAACUCCCGAGCUGGAGUUCUGGAGAGGAAGGCGGAAUUCUCGGUGUAGAGGUGGAAUGCGUAGAGAUCGGGAAGAAUACCUGUGGCGAAGGCGGCCAGCUGGGCCAGAUCCGACACUGAGGCGCGAAAGCGUGGGGGAGCAAACAGG
rnacentral:rRNA from 1 species